rnacentral:sRNA from 1 species
UAGAAAGCUAAGCUCUAUUUGUUUAGUCCUAGGAUAGGUACAGUAGAGGCAGCCAAAGUGUGAGCUUGUUCAUUCUGGUCCAUCACUGGAUGCAGUUCUAACUCAGAGGGGCCAUCUUUAAAAAUGAGAGGUAUUUUAGACCCCUCCAUAUAGGGAACUC